rnacentral:tRNA from 1 species
GGGCGGUUAGCUCAGCUGGGAGAGCACCUGCCUUACAAGCAGGGGGUCGGCAGUUCGAUCCUGUCACCGCCCA